GCAUGACUUUGGAGAUGAAGUCACAUCUGAUAGAGUUAAAAGCCUUGUGAAUGCCAAUUCUGAGGAGAGCGGUUGGGGAAUGAGAUUUCUUGUCAAAACCACGGACAAUCUUGUGGCAAAGAAUGAUAUUAUCAGAUAUGUUGCGGCCAGAGAUGAAGGCGAACUGGUGGGCAUCGACAAGCGAAUUGAUGACAACCUAGAUGCGGUUGGCUAGGAUUUUGGCAAUGAACUUAUAGAGGAGAUUGCACAGGGAGAUGAGCUAGAAGUUAGACAAGGAGAAUGCAACUUCCUUUCUUGGGGAUGAGACAGAGGAAGGUAUGAUUGAUGUGGCUAACUUGGGAGAGGUUGAAACAUAAGCUCUUAAGGGCUUUGAUAAUGUGGAUCGAUCUACGACUUCAUAGAAUCGGAUUUAUUUUUCCAUUUUCAAAUUACUUUUUUAUAUUUUUUAUUUCAAAGUAAUUUUUUUUAGAUAUUUUAUUAUAUUAAAUGUUUUUUUUUCUAUUUGUAAUGCAUAUUGUAGUUGUUUUCAUUGAAUUUUAUGUGUUCUAGUACUAAAUUAUCUGUAGCAUAGGCUUUAUUUGAGAAAGUAUAUGUUAAAGUGUCUAGGUUCGAUGUAUCUAGAACUGUGACUCAUCCUUAUACUAGUUGUAACCCUAAUCUCUCAUUAUAAGUAAAGGUGGACUUUGUCAUAUUAGACAAGCUAAAUUGUUCUCUCAUUCUUUCAUUUCAACUUGGUAUCAAAGCCAAAAAAAUCCCUAAAUAUUUAUUCUACCGCCCCACUAGGAGGGUUCCCACCUUCCGCGUUUGAUGCUUCAGCCUCCCUUGGUCAACCAUGGUCGACUAAACCAUGCCCCAUGACUAACCACCUAACCUUACUACAUGAGCCAUUGCUACCUUUCCACCACUUGCCGCUAUCCCUAGCAUCUCCCACUUACGCCGCCACUACGCCCCUUGUAGUUUUUGCCUUUUGUGGCCCUGCUGCCUUGUGCCGCCCCUUGCGGCCCUAUUGCCUUGCACCCCCCUGCAACCUUUGUUGCCUACGUCCCCCCUGCCACCGCUGCUAUCGUCAUCGCCCCCUACAGCCAUCAUUGCAUAUGUUGCCCCUUGUAGCCCUCGCUGCUGGUGCCGCUCUCUGCAGUCCUCUUUGUUCCUUGCAGUGCUGUAAUCGCCUCCUGUCCUUAUGAUCUGUUGAUUGCUAUGUGCUCUGGUAUGCAGUAGUUACCUACCUGAUCCAUCUUCAUCAUUUCACACCCAUCUUUGUUGACCUCUUCUCCGACUCUUUGGCUGAGGGUGACAAAACAAGCUCCAUGUUCAACUCUGGGAGUGGUGAGGCACCUUGUGUUGGGGUUUCUGUCCAUCACCCCUCUCCAACUUGGUCCAACAAAGCUGAUUGGGUCUAAUUAUCUACUCUGGUGUCGCACACAUGCCUACUGACCAUAAUGGGUAAUCAAUUUUUGGGAUAUUUGAUUGAUGUCAUGCCUUGGCCUCUUGAUGGUCCUUCUGGUCCAUGAUGUGUUGGUUAUGUAUUUUCUUCUCAAUUCUAUGGAGUCCAUCUUAUGCUCUAGCUUUGUUUUGAUGAACUUUGCCCAAAAACUCUAGGAGGUUUUCAUUAGACAUAUGCUUAGACUAGCAACUAUGCAUAGAUUUAUGAACUUCAUCACCACUCACAAGGUCUGUGAGAUGUCUCAGAAAAAUCUCGCUUUGUCUGCCUACUGCCACCUUGAACUCUCAGUGGCAGCAUUUUGAUUUUUAUCACCCUGUUCCAAUGGUUUGUGCACCGGAUGCUAAAGCUUUCCAAAAGGAUCAGGAAAUGAAGUGUCUAUGAAUUUCUUAUUGGCCUCAAUCUGGCAUGCGAUCCAUGUCUAGAUCCUUGGUCGUGAUACGUUUCCUAUUUUACCAUAGGCCUAUAAUCUGUUGCAGCAUGAGGAGCUCUGUCGUUUUGUUAUGAUGCCAAAUGUGGCUCCUCCACACUUUGCUUUAGUCUCUACUCCUGAUAAUAUUGACUCCUAUAGAUCUACGCAUCCACAAGAGAACCAGUGCCCCCGGUCCCCUGUGGCAAUAUCAUUUGGUUUAAGGGCCACAUUCCCGGCCAUAGUUUCAUUGCUUGGUGUGCAAUAUCCAAUUGCCUUCCUACCCAGUCCUUCUGGAUUUCCCGACACAUUCAGGUUCAGUCCUCCUGUUGCCUUUACUGGAAUGACACUAAAAAUGUUGACCAUCUUUUUUCUCCUGCCCUUUCUCCACUUCUGUCUGGAAGAAGGUUCUUAGUCGUUGUUGGCCUAUGAGAAGAAGACUGCUCCCUCAUUAGAGAAUGGGUCUGGGUUGAUAUGACUUAUGCUAGUUCUUCCAUUUGUGACACUACUGGCAAGCUUGCCUUCUGCCAUAAACUAUAUCUGGAUGGAGAGGAAUCUACGUAGAUGGACUUCCAACUCUCAUUCUUUUGACAAGAUUUGGAAUGCCAUCUAUUUUGAAGUCUCCUCUAAGAUUGGAUCUUAGUGCUCCCGCCCUGUCAGAAAUACCCCAAGGAACAAGCUUAUUGUUGUUACUUGGGGUCUCCCCUCCCACCAUCCUAUCCCCCAAUCCCCCCUUUUGUUCUCCUUGGCUCUUCUAGUCUCCUUUUGGUUGGUCGCCUAUGUGCUUAGUUUUGCUCCCCCCUGUAGCUUGUCAGGCUUAUUCCUUCUAGGCUCCCUUCCCCCUUUUCCCCCCCUGCAUAUUCUCUCUUCUCUUGGUAAUGAAUUUAUUUAUUCAUCCAAAAAAAAAAUGUCAAUACUGUGGUAAAUCUUGUCACACUAAGGAGACUCGUUGCAAGCUACAUGGUCAUCCCAAGGGAGAGGGUCAUGGUGGGAAACAAGGGUCUACCCAGCCCCAAGCUCAUCUCUUUGAGACUCCUGAUGGUUCUGUUCUUGGCCAUCCACCUAUAGGCUUGUCUUCAUCUAUGCGUUUCUCCUCGGAUCAACUAUAGGCCCUAUAGUGCACGAUGUUCCACUUGGGGACACCAACCCCUGCACUUGCUACACCUGCUUCCCAUCUUGAUCAUUCGGGUAUUCUCCAUGUUUCUACUUCCUCUGGUCCCUCUUGGCUCAUUUAUUAAGGAGCCUCUGAGCAGAUGUCUAGGAUCAUCAGCCUUGUUUUGUUCCUGCCUCCUGGCUCUGAAAAGGAUGAAGUCUAGGUUGUCGAUGGCUCCUUGUCCUCUAUUUCUGGUAGAGGCUCUGUUCAAUGCUCACCUACUUUUUCUUUAUCUUUCGUUCUUCAUGUUCCAAAUCUGUGUGAUAACCUGCUUUCUACUUACCGUCUUACCGUUGAACUUAAUUGUUGUGUCUCAUUUUAUUUCACCCAUUGCCUUUUUCAGGAUCUAGUGACGGGUGCAACGAUUGGCUAUGGGGGAUGGGCUCCACCAUCUGGAAUCAGCCCCCACUGUUGUGCACGGCCCUCUUUCUGCUCACACUCUACUGGGUGAUAGUGUCCUUCAACAAGUGCACUGAUGGCAUUAGCAUCUUGGUCAUCUUUUAUUAUUUUCAUAGUUAAUAAAACAUUUUAAAUCUUGACACUUUUAUUGCGGAACUUGUGAGCUUGUUAAACACACUAGAACUUCUUAUUCUAUUUCUUUUAAUAAAAGUGACCAUCCUUUUUCUGUUAUUCAUUCUGAUGUGUUGGGUGCAUCUCGUGUGCCACUAGUGAUGGUUUCCAAUGGUUUAUUUCAUUUAUUGAUAAUUGUACCCGCAUAACCUGGGCCUUUCUUCUUCAUCAUAGAUUUGAGGCGUUGCAGUGCUUCCAGUCUUUCCUCACCAUGAUCCGGACCUAGUUUGAUGCCAAAAUUCGGAUCCUAUGAAGUGACAAUGGCACUAAAUAUAUUAAUGCUAGCUUUCACCAAUAUCUUGAUAGUUUGGGGAUAGUGCUUUGGACCUCUUGUGUUCGCACUUUGGAACGGAAUGGUAUUCCUAAGCGGAAGAAUCGUCAUCUUCUGAAUGUCACUUGCUCCCUCAUGUUUACCAUGAAGGUUCCAAAGUCUUAUUGGGGUUAUGCAGUCCUUACAGGUUCCUAUCUCAUUAACGGGGUUCCCUUUAGUGUUCUAGAAUUCAAAACCCCUGUUAGCUAUCUCUAGGACCACUCCCUUGCCUACCAUGUCCACCUCAAGUCUAUGGUUGUGUCUGUUAUGCUUACAGACCUUUGGGCACUCUAAGCUUGAUCCUUGCGCCUUCCGUUGCAUUUUCCAUGCUAUGCCUCUACCCAGAAUGGCUACAAAUGCUAUCAUCCCCCUCUCGAUGGCUCUUUGUUACCAUGGUCUUACUUUCUAGGAGUUUAAGCCCUAUUUUUAGUCAACUCUUGAGGGGGAGAGUGCUAUGUUUGAGCUUCCUUUAAGUUCAUUUGUCGUUGACACUACUCGUCUUGAGGGGAGCAUGUUUGUCUUGAGGAGGAGCCACCUCUCAAGGAAAGUAGUAAAGGGGGCUUACUUACAUAUUCUCGUAGGAAGCAGUAGCUUGCAUGCGACCUGCCACAACAAUCAGUGAUCUUAGAUCCACCUCCUGUGCCUCAGUCAGGUAAUAUAGAUUCUACCAUUGCUACCGAUUCUACUGAUAUUCCCAUUGUUGUUAGGAAAGGAAUUAGGACAUGUACUAAAUAUCGUAUUUUUAACUUUGUUUCCCAUGAAUCCAUGUCUCCGUCCUACUGUGCCUUUGUUUUGACUUUGUCAUCUGUUUCUAUUUUGCGAGGUUGGAAAGAUGUUGGGGCUGAUAUUAAGUGGAAAGAUGCUAUGGUGGAGGAGAUGCAGGCUCUUUGGAAGAAUGGUAAUUGGGAGUUGGAACCUUAUUCCUUCCUUAAAGGGAAAUAAACUUGUGGGGUGUAAUUGGGCCUUUACUGUAAAGACCAAGGCGGAUGGCACCAUUAAGAGGUACAAGGUCAGAUUAGUUGCCAAGGGUUUCACUUAGAACUAUGGCAUCGACUACCAAGAGACCUUUACUCCAGUGGCUAAGAUGAACUAUGUCCGGGCUUUGCUAUCCUAUGGUGCCAACCUCGGGUGGAAUUUCCAACAGUUAGACGUCAAAAAUGCCUUCUUGAAUGAUGAUUUGGAAGAAGUCUAUAUGGACAUAUCAUCCGGUUUUGAGUCUCUAUCCAAUGUCGGGAACGUAUGCCGGUUACAAAAAUCGCUCUAUGGUCUAAAGCAGUCUCCUCGGGCUUGGUUUGGUUGGUUUCUCAAGGCUAUGCUGCAAUUCACUUACAAGCAAAGUCAGGCCGAUCAUACUUUAUUUGUCAGGCGUGAAGGUGGUAAAAUUACUGCUCUCAUAGUUUGUGGAUGAUAUAGUGAUCACAGGGAAUGAUGGUGCUGAAAUUUCCAAGAUCAAGGCUCGACUUGCAACAGAGUUUGAAAUUAAGAAUUUGGGCCCUCUCAAAUAUUUCCUUGGUAUUGAAGUUGCUCGAUUUGACAAGGGAAUUUUCAUCUCACAAAGGAAAUAUGUCUUAGAUCUUCUUAGUGAGAGACAUGGUUGUGUAAACCUACAGACUCUCCCAUUGAGGCUAAUGAUCAUCUUGGCAGUAAUGGUGGAGAUCCAGUUGAUCGAGAAAGGAAAGUGACUCUUGUUCUUGGACAACAACAAUACAAGACUCGAAGCCUUUACUGAUGCUAAUUGGGUAGGCUCUAUUGAUGAUCGUCGGUCUACUUAUGGUUAUUGCACUUUCCUGGGUGGUACCUGGAGGCUGGAGGAGCAAGAAACAAUUUGUGGUCUCAAGGUCCAGUGUUGAGGCUGAGUACCAUGCUAUGGCUCAGGGGGUUUGCGAGCUUAUAUUUGGCUUAGGACUCCUUCUCAAUGAUCUUGGGAUUGUUACUUCUGGUCCUGUGUGGCUCUAUUGUGACAAUAAGGCUGCUAGCAUUAUUGCUCAUAACCCAGUUCAACACGUAUGGACCAAGCAUAUUGAAAUUGACCGGCAUUUCAUCAAGGCGAAGCUGGAACAAGGUUCCAUUUGUAUUCCAUUUGUCACUCAGAGAAUCAGCUAGCUGAUGCAUUCACGAAAGGUUUAUAUUGUAAGGUUUUAUCCUCUACUCUGCAGGUUGCGCAUGCAUGUUAUAUAUGCACCAACUUGAGGGGGAGUAUUAAAGUGUCUAGGUUUGAUGUAUCUAGACCUGUGACUCAUCGUUAUGCUAGCUGUAACCCUAAUCUCUCAUUAUAAAUAAAGGUGGCCUCUGUCAUAUUAGACAAGCCGGAUCAUUCUCUCAUUCUUCUAUUUCAACUGUAUACCACAAGGUACGCUGUUUACUUUCAAACUAGGAUACAACACCAAACUAGCAUUUGGGCUUGUUUUUUAACAAUCUAAAGUUUCCAUUAUGUUUAGGGAUGCUUAAUCAAGGUUUUCCUAAAGUUUCAAACCAAACUAUGGCCAUUUGCCGCCGAAAUGGUCAAAACAAUCCAACCACUGAAAUGAAAUAUUUUGUGGUCAAAACUGAAAUUUUGAACCUUGCUCGGAAUUCCUUUCCUUGAACCAGUACAUGAUGUGGCAAGUUGGGCAUGGCUAGGCCAUAAAAUAUGAUUUGAAGUGGACCCAGCAAGCAUCAUUGGCCCAGUGGAACCCAACAAUUGUUUUUGGUGUUGCUAGACAUUCUAGUAGGUUCUGUACUUCGAGAUUUUCAGAUGACGACAAUAAUGGUAUAUUUUUGGAUUUUAGAGAAUUGGAUAAAAUGGACUUUGAAGAGUUGAUUGCAUGAUAGAAUCACACAUUUAGAUAUGUCUGGUGAUUCUCAGAAUCUUGAGAAUCGUUAUAUACAGCAGGAAACUGACUACAUUAAAGAUGAUGAAAAGAGAUGGAUGGAUCUCUUCUAAACAUGGUUUGGUAGAUUAAGAAGAAAAGAAAGCACUUUGUUGCUCAUUAGCUUCCUUCACAGUCAUGAUUUUGGGCAUUUUGUUUCCUUUUUGUCUCUAUGUUGCUGUUUAUAUGACUAGCUCCUUUUCACUUGGUGAACUGUUACCUUAAUUUAAUAAAUUUCAUUAUUGCCUAAAUAAUAAUAAUAAUAAUGGUAAUAAAAUUAUAAAAUCUCAAUUUGAAGAAUGGGAAACAUAAGAAGAAACUUCAUCAUAACAACAACAACAAAACAAAUUUGUAUAUUCCUGAAGAAUACAAGAAGAUUGUGUCAAGGGUGGGGGCUUAGUUUCUGACUAUGUUUGGGUUUGUUGUAGUCCUUCAUUUUUGCAGUGGAUUUUAUUGUUUUUCUCAUAGUUGGAGAUUUUGAUUUCAACAGUGAUGUAGAUCAAUGGAGAGAUCUGCCCAGAUUUUUGUCUUCAUUAAACCAGCUGUGAAGGCCAUUGAUUAGCACUGAUUUGGGUGAUAACCGACAGCUUUCAUGGGCCCCACAGCCAGCUUGUAGGUGAAGGGCUUGGAGAUAAAUCAGGAAACGAUUCCAGCCUUGCGUAUUGAUUAUUCAUGGGAAAAAUAGGUGAUAUUCCGUAGGGUAUCUUUUGGGAAGAUUAUUUCCCAGAUUUGUGGGACCCUUGGCCGGCUGUGCGGAGAAUAGCCUUGGAGAUCGAAUUGUUACUUGCAUGAAGACUUUCUUUCCAAAGGGAGAUCGAGUUGUCAAAGAGCUUUAUCUACUUCCUAUUUUAUUUCUUUGUAAUAGCUAUUAGUUAGGAUUAGUUUCUAAUUCCAGUUUUCCUAAUUUAGGCAAUAGGAGUUCUAAUUUUAUUUGGUUUCUAUGUUGUAACUGAGAAGGGACUUGAUUUGGAUUGGGCAGCCCAUCUAUGGCUAGCUCA